AAUAGAUACCCCGGUAGUCCACGCUGUAAACGUUGGACACUAGGUGUGGCGGUCUGAUCAACGACUGCCGUGCCGAAGCUAACGCAUUAAGUGUCCCGCCUGGGGAGUACGGCCGCAAGGCUAAAACUCAAAGGAAUUGACGGGUCCCCGCACAAGCGGCGGAGCAUGCGGCUUAAUUCGAUGCAACCCGAAGAACCUUACCUGGGUUUGACAUCAUGGGAAAAGCCGUGGAAACACGGUGUCCGUAAGGGCCCAUGACAGGUGGUGCAUGGCUGUCGUCAGCUCGUGUCGUGAGAUGUUGGGUUAAGUCCCGCGACGAGCGCAACCUUUGUCCUAUGUUGCCAGCGGUUCGGCCGGGGACUCAUAGGAGACUGCCGGGGAUAACUCGGAGGAAGGUGAGGACGAUGUCAAGUCAUCAUGCCCCUUAUAUCCAGGGCUGCACGCAUGCUACAAUGGUCGGUACAACGGGCAGCGAUCCUGCGAAGGUGAGCGAAUCCCACAAAGCCGGCCUCAGUUCGGA
rnacentral:rRNA from 1 species